rnacentral:rRNA from 1 species
AAACCAACAGGGAUUNCCUCAGUAACGGCGAGUGAAGCGGUAACAGCUCAAAUUUGAAAGCUGCCAACAGGCCGCGUUGUAAUUUGUAGAAGCUGCUUUGGGUAUUGGCCCGGUCUAAGUUCCUUGGAACAGGACGUCAUAGAGGGUGAGAAUCCCGUAUGUGAUCGGUGCCGGCGCCCGUGUAAAGCGCUUUCGACGAGUCGAGUUGUUUGGGAAUGCAGCUCAAAAUGGGUGGUAAAUUUCAUCUAAAGCUAAAUAUUGGCCAGAGACCGAUAGCGCACAAGUAGAGUGAUCGAAAGAUGAAAAGCACUUUGGAAAGAGAGUUAAACAGUACGUGAAAUUGUUGAAAGGGAAGCGCUUGCAACCAGACUUGCGGGCGGUCGAUCAUCCGAGGUUCUCCCCGGUGCACUCGAUCGUUCUCAGGCCAGCAUCGGUUUCCGGGGUGGGAUAAAGACGGUGGGAAUGUGGCUCUUCGGAGUGUUAUAGCCCACCGUGCAAUGCCGCCACCGGGGACCGAGGACCGCGCUUCGGCUAGGAUGCUGGCGUAAUGGUUGUAAGCGAC